UACGUAGGGCGCAAGCGUUAUCCGGAAUUAUUGGGCGUAAGGAGCUCGUAGGCGGUCUGUCGCGUCGGCUGUGAAAACCCGGAGCUCAACUCCGGGCCUGCAGUCGAUACGGGCAAACUGGAGUGUUGCAGGGGAGACUGGAAUUCCUGGUGUAGCGGUGAAAUGCGCAGAUAUCAGGAGGAACACCGGUGGCGAAGGCGGGUCUCUGGGCAACAACUGACGCUGAGGAGCGAAAGCGUGGGGAGCGAACAGG
rnacentral:rRNA from 1 species